rnacentral:rRNA from 1 species
GACGAACGCUGGCGGCGUGCCUAAUACAUGCAAGUCGAGCGAAGUUUUUCUGGUGCUUGCGCUAGAAAAACUUAGCGGCGAACGGGUGAGUAACACGUAAAGAACCUGCCUCAUAGACUGGGACAGCUAUUGGAAACGAUAGCUAAUACCGGAUAACAGUAUUUCUCGCAUGAGAGAUAUUUAAAAGUUGGUUAUGCUAACACUAUGAGAUGGCUUUGCGGUGCAUUAGCUAGUUGGUGGGGUAAAGGCCCACCAAGGCGACGAUGCAUAGCCGACCUGAGAGGGUGAUCGGCCACACUGGGACUGAGACACGGCCCAGACUCCUACGGGAGGCAGCAGUAGGGAAUCUUCCGCAAUGGGCGAAAGCCUGACGGAGCAACGCCGCGUGAGUGAAGAAGGAUUUCGGUUCGUAAAGCUCUGUUGUUAGGGAAGAAUGGAUAUGUAGUAACUAUACAUGUACGAGACGGUACCUAACCAGAAAGCCACGGCUAACUAC